rnacentral:misc_RNA from 1 species
CCGAGUUAUACAACUCAUCAACCCUGUGAACAUACCUAAACGUUGCUUCAGGCGGAUACCGCCCGGCCCCUCGUACCCGGAUCAGGCGCCCCGCCAGAGGACCCCUAACUCUGUAUUUCUUAAGUAUCUUCUGAGUAAACAAGCAAAUAAAUUA